rnacentral:rRNA from 1 species
UACUAGAGUAGCACUCGCAUAUCAAUAAGCGGAGGAAAAGAAACUAACAAGGAUUCCCCUAGUAACGGCGAGUGAAGCGGGAAGAGCUCAAAUUUGAAAUCUUAAAGGGUUUCCCUUUACGAAUUGUAGUUUAAAGAAGUGUUUUCUGUUGAGGUUUUGGUAAAAGUUCUUUGGAAUAGGACAUCAUAGAGGGUGAGAAUCCCGUAUUUGACCUUUACUUUCAACUUUGUGAUACACUUUCAAAGAGUCGGAUUGUUUGGGAAUGCAGUCCAAAAUGGGUGGUAAAUUUCAUCUAAAGCUAAAUAUUGGCGAGAGACCGAUAGCGAACAAGUACCGUGAGGGAAAGAUGAAAAGAACUUUGAAAAGAGAGUUAAACAGUACGUGAAAUUGUCAAAAGGGAAGCGUUUGACACCAGUGUUGUUUUUCUGAAAAUCAAUUAAAGAACUGUUUAUGCUAAGUUGUUUAGACUUUAUCAGCUAACUGUUUAGUUUUGAGCUUUUCUUUAAUGCACUUUUCAGUUAACAAGUCAACAUCAAUUUCUUUUGCUGUAAAAAAGCUUGAGGAAGGUGGCUUGAGAUUCGUCUUAGGUGUUUAUAGCCUCUUGCCUAUGCAGUCGGAGAGAUUGAGGUCUGCAGCGUAGAUCCUUCGGGGCUAAAUGCAUUUGUGCUAAGUUAUAGCAUUUUAUAGACAACUUGUUGACUAUGAUUUGUCUUGUAGCUUACUCGCUUAUGUUAUUUUACCUACGCUUAGGAUGUUGAGCGCAUGUCUCUCUCU